GGCAGCAGCCAUAUCACCCUGCAACUCACAACUGGCAGCCCACUGAAACUAAACAGGUGUGAGCCUGGUUAGUACCUGGAUGGAGACCUCCUAGGAAAAUCUAAGGUUGCUGCUGGUA
rfam:Lepisosteus oculatus linkage group LG8, whole genome shotgun sequence.